GAAAAUGUCGUUUUUUCUCUUAUCUCUUCUUUGGAACGAUACAGAGAAGAUUAGCAUGGCCCCUGCGCAAGGAUGACACGCAAAAUCGUGAAGCGUUCCAUCAAGGU